rnacentral:rRNA from 1 species
GAUGAACGCUGGCGGCGUGCCUAAUACAUGCAAGUCGAACGAGUUCUGAUUAUUGAAAGGUGCUUGCAUCUUGAUUUAAUUUUGAACGAGUGGCGGACGGGUGAGUAACACGUGGGUAACCUGCCCUUAAGUGGGGGAUAACAUUUGGAAACAGAUGCUAAUACCGCAUAAAUCCAAAAACCGCAUGGUUCUUGGCUGAAAGAUGGCGUAAGCUAUCGCUUUUGGAUGGACCCGCGGCGUAUUAGCUAGUUGGUGAGGUAACGGCUCACCAAGGCAAUGAUACGUAGCCGAACUGAGAGGUUGAUCGGCCACAUUGGGACUGAGACACGGCCCAGACUCCUACGGGAGGCAGCAGUAGGGAGUCUUCCACAAUGGACGCAAGUCUGAUGGAGCAACGCCGCGUGAGUGAAGAAGGCUUUCGGGUCGUAAAACUCUGUUGUUGGAGAAGAAUGGUCGGCAGAGUAACUGUUGUCGGCGUGACGGUAUCCAACCAGAAAGCCACGGCUAACUACGUGCCAGCAGCCGCGGUAAUACGUAGGUGGCAAGCGUUAUCCGGAUUUAUUGGGCGUAAAGCGAGCGCAGGCGGUUUUUUAAGUCUGAUGUGAAAGCCCUCGGCUUAACCGAGGAAGUGCAUCGGAAACUGGGAAACUUGAGUGCAGAAGAGGACAGUGGAACUCCAUGUGUAGCGGUGAAAUGCGUAGAUAUAUGGAAGAACACCAGUGGCGGAGGCGGCUGUCUGGUCUGUAACUGACGCUGAGGCUCGAAAGCAUGGGUAGCGAACAGGAUUAGAUACCCUGGUAGUCCAUGCCGUAAACGAUGAAUGCUAGGUGUUGGAGGGUUUCCGCCCUUCAGUGCCGCAGCUAACGCAUUAAGCAUUCCGCCUGGGGAGUACGACCGCAAGGUUGAAACUCAAAGGAAUUGACGGGGGCCCGCACAAGCGGUGGAGCAUGUGGUUUAAUUCGAAGCAACGCGAAGAACCUUACCAGGUCUUGACAUCUUUUGAUCACCUGAGAGAUCAGGUUUCCCCUUCGGGGGCAAAAUGACAGGUGGUGCAUGGUUGUUGUCAGCUCGUGUCGUGAGAUGUUGGGUUAAGUCCCGCAACGAGCGCAACCCUUAUGACUAGUUGCCAGCAUUUAGUUGGGCACUCUAGUAAGACUGCCGGUGACAAACCGGAGGAAGGUGGGGAUGACGUCAAAUCAUCAUGCCCCUUAUGACCUGGGCUACACACGUGCUACAAUGGAUGGUACAACGAGUUGCGAGACCGCGAGGUCAAGCUAAUCUCUUAAAGCCAUUCUCAGUUCGGACUGUAGGCUGCAACUCGCCUACACGAAGUCGGAAUCGCUAGUAAUCGCGGAUCAGCACGCCGCGGUGAAUACGUUCCCGGGCCUUGUACACACCGCCCGUCACACCAUGAGAGUUUGUAACACCCGAAGCCGGUGGCGUAACCCUUUUAGGGAGCGAGCCGUCUAAGGUGGGACAAAUG